rnacentral:rRNA from 1 species
GAUGAACGCUGGCGGCGUGCCUAAUACAUGCAAGUCGAGCGAACAGACGAGGAGCUUACUCCUCUGACGUUAGCGGCGGACGGGUGAGUAACACGUGGAUAACCUACCUAUAAGACUGGGAUAACUUUGGGAAACCGGAGCUAAUACCGGAUAACAUGUUGAACCGCAUGGUUCAACAGUGAAAGACGGUCUUGCUGUCACUUACAGAUGGAUCCGCGUCGCAUUAGCUAGUUGGUAAGGUAACGGCUUACCAAGGCAACGAUGCGUAGCCGACCUGAGAGGGUGAUCGGCCACACUGGAACUGAGACGCGGUCCAGACUCCUACGGGAGGCAGCAGUAGGGAAUCUUCCGCAAUGGGCGAAAGCCUGACGGAGCAACGCCGCGUGAGUGAAGAAGGUCUUCGGAUCGUAAAACUCUGUUAUUAGGGAAGAACAAAUGUGUAAGUAACUAUGCACGUCUUGACGGUACCUAAUCAGAAAGCCACGGCUAACUACGUG